rnacentral:rRNA from 1 species
CCUACGGGAGGCAGCAGUAGGGAAUCUUCCGCAAUGGACGAAAGUCUGACGGAGCAACGCCGCGUGAGUGAUGAAGGCUUUCGGAUCGUAAAACUCUGUUGUUAGGGAAGAACAAGUUGGGUAGUAACUGACCCAACCUUGACGGUACCUAACCAGAAAGCCACGGCUAACUACGUGCCAGCAGCCGCGGUAAUACGUAGGUGGCAAGCGUUGUCCGGAAUUAUUGGGCGUAAAGCGCUCGCAGGCGGUCUUUUAAGUCUGAUGUGAAAGCCCACGGCUUAACCGUGGAGGGUCAUUGGAAACUGGAGGACUUGAGUACAGAAGAGGAGAGUGGAAUUCCACGUGUAGCGGUGAAAUGCGUAGAGAUGUGGAGGAACACCAGUGGCGAAGGCGACUCUCUGGUCUGUAACUGACACUGAGGCGCGAAAGCGUGGGGAGCAAACAGGAUUAGAUACCCUGGUAGUCCACGCCGUAAACGAUGAGUGCUAAGUGUUAGAGGGUUUCCGCCCUUUAGUGCUGAAGUUAACGCAUUAAGCACUCCGCCUGGGGAGUACGGCCGCAAGGCUGAAACUCAAAGGAAUUGACGGA